UACAGAGGGGGCAAGCGUUGUUCGGAAUUACUGGGCGUAAAGGGCGCGUAGGCGGCCCGCUAAGUCGAACGUGAAAUCCCUGGGCUCAACCCAGGAACUGCGUCCGAUACUGGCAGGCUUGAAUCCGGGAGAGGGAUGUGGAAUUCCAGGUGUAGCGGUGAAAUGCGUAGAUAUCAGGAAGAACACCCGUGGCGAAAGCGGCUCUCUGGAACGGUACUGACGCUGAGACGCGAAAGCGUGGGGAGCGAACAGG
rnacentral:rRNA from 1 species